rnacentral:lncRNA from 10 species
CUUUUCAUGUUAAAGUAUCUUCUCUUCAAUGAAAUGAUGACAAUAGGGGUGUUUUGUCUGUGUUAGAAAUAUUACUGGUCCCUGAAAUCCAAAAAUUCAAGAUACGGUUUAAUAAGAUUAUAUUUUCUGUUCUAAAAAAAUUAAUAUGGGGGUUUUGUCAGGUCUCCCUUUACUUAAGUUUACACAAGUGUUCCUUAACCUGUGACACACUCAGAAGAGACAAGUUAAGGUUUAUUCAGGUUCAUCCGAGUAAAUAUUAUUCCUAAAGGUAAGCUGUGUGUUUCAAUAUCUGAACCAUUGUAUUGUACCAACAGUGACUACCACAGUUAAACUAGCCUGUUCCAAACACUCAUUGUUAAAGAAGCAAACUGGUCUUUUCUCUAUUUCUUGUUUUCAGACUGUAUCCCAGCCACUAUUUUUCCCUCAAUGUCACUAAAUGCAAGGGAAUAAUGAAACCACAGGAGAGAAAAAAGCAGCUGUCUGAAUAAAAGAAGAAAGAGGUAGAUGCACAGAAACAGACGGACGUAAAAAAAAAAAAAAAUUUCAACAGCAUUCAGGUUGCAGAGGUCCACUGCACUCCUGUGCUUAAGAGUCUGUAAGACGUCAACAGGCUUUGCACAAUAAAUAAUCCUUUUGCUCAAGCUAGUUUAAAGAAGUGUGAAUGGGGGUUGGGGGUUGGUAUUUUGUGCCACUAAUGAGUUCUAACUACUCAUUACCUUAUUCAUACACAAAAUAAAAAAUGGUA